rnacentral:lncRNA from 1 species
UAGUGUAGAACUACUAUACUAUCGAAAAUAUAGAGGAUUUGAUGUUUCUGAAUUUUUGACCCUUUGAUUAAAAAUUAUAUGGUUGGGAUGAUUGCGGUCCCCCUUAGGAUUAAAUAAUACCCCUAUGAUUGAGUGGUCCCUGCAAAGUAAUAAUAGUAUUAAUCCAAAGAUAAGAAAUGAUUAAAGGGAUUGAUCUAAGAAUCAAAAAAUCGAAAGCACCAAAUCCUCUAUAUUUUCGAUAACACGCGCGCGCGCGCACACACACACACACAUAUAUAUAUAUAUAUAUAUAUAUAUAUAUAGAGAGAGAGAGAGAGAGAGAGAGAGAGAGAGAGAGAGAGAGUCCGGCUAUGGUGCUUGUAAAAGUACCAAGCACUUGAUGCUUGUAUAUUUUUUACCGUUAGAUCUCUACCUUUGAUCAUUUUUACCCAUUAGAUUAUACUAUUCAACUAACCACCCACUCAACCCUAGGAGGCCCACAUCAUCCUAACCGCACAUCCUUUAAUCCAAGAGCCAAAAACUUUCAAGCACUAAUGACUUGGUACUUUUAAAAGCAUAGGAGCUCAAUUCUAUAUAUAUAUAUAUAGAGUUGAGCUGGAAUGCUAUCGGUAGCAAACGGGCUCCGUUGCCACCCAUUUGUUUUCAAUGAUGGAGCUUUCAAAUCGACGAUCAGCACCGUUGAACAUGAUCUAUAUCACUUGAAGUAU